GUCUCUUCGGGGAUGAUUAAACCGGCGCACGGGUGAGUAACACGUGAGUGACCUGCCUUUUAGACUGGAACAACUUACCGAAAGGUGAGCUAAUGCCGGAUGAGUUAUAUAAGUGCAUGUUUAUAUAGGAAAAGUUGGGGAGACCUGACGCUGAAAGAUGGACUCGCGUCCCAUUAGCUAGUUGGUAGGGUAAUGGCCUACCAAGGCGACGAUGGGUAGCCGGCCUGAGAGGGUGGCCGGCCACACUGGGACUGAGACACGGCCCAGACUCCUACGGGAGGCAGCAGUGGGGAAUUUUGCGCAAUGCUCGUAAGAGUGACGCAGCGACGCCGCGUGAAUGACGAAGGCCUUCGGGUCGUAAAGUUCUUUCGACAGGGAAGAAAAUGCCUAUAAGUAACUGUGUAUGUAUUGACGGUACCUGUAUAAGCAGCCCCGGCUAACUCCGUGCCAGCAGCCGCGGUAAUACGGAGGGGGCGAGCGUUGUCCGGAGUGACUGGGCGUAAAGAGCACGUAGGCGGUGUUGUAAGUCAUUAGUCAAAGACUAGAGCUCAACUUUAGUAAGGCUAGUGAUACUAUAAUACUAGAGUAUCAGAGAGGAUUGCAGAAUUCCUGGUGUAGCGGUGAAAUGCGUAGAUAUCAGGAGGAAUACCGUUAGCGAAGGCGGCAAUCUGGCUGGAAACUGACGCUGAGGUGCGAAAGCGUGGGUAGCAAACAGGAUUAGAUACCCUGGUAGUCCACGCUGUAAACGAUGGAUGCUAGGUGUUGGGCUUUUAAGU
rnacentral:rRNA from 1 species